CUCCUGUACUGCAGACUUCACAUGUGGAUGCAGUGUACCAGGCCUGGAUUUCCCAGCUGAGAGGAUAUUGCUGGCACAGAAUGUUCUGUCAAAAGUCAGAUCAGAUUCUGCUGCUCAGUAACCUGCUUCAGGCACCAUCAGCCAAGUAGUGUUGGGGCACUGGAACAGAAUCCUCACUGCAGUGGUCAUGGCAUGAAGCCUGCUGGAGUUCAAGAAGCAUUUAGACAAAUGUUUCAGAAAUAUGGCUUGUAUUUUGGAUGGUCCUAAAAUCUAGCUGAACUAGAUCAUUGGAUCUUUCUGGGUCCCUUCCAAAACAAGAUAUUCUAUGGUUCUAUGAUUUUUCCCAUUGUAUGAAUAAUUACACUUGAGUACAGCAGAGUUAAGUAACUCUUUGGAAAAUAAUCUGUUAUAGGUCAGUACUGAAUUCUGAGAAA
ensembl:lncRNA